rnacentral:rRNA from 1 species
CAUGUAGGCGGAUUAAUAAGUUUGAAGUGAAAUCCUAUAGCUUAACUAUAGAACUGCUUUGAGAACUGUUAAUCUAGAAUGUGGGAGAGGUAGAUGGAAUUUCUGGUGUAGGGGUAAAUCCGUAGAGAUCAGAAGGAAUACCGAUUGCGAAGGCGAUCUACUGGAACAUUAUUGACGCUGAGAUGCGAAAGCGUGGGGAGCAAACA